rnacentral:rRNA from 1 species
AAGCCAGACUCCUACGGGAGGCAGCAGUGAGGAAUAUUGGUCAAUGGGCGAGAGCCUGAACCAGCCAAGUCGCGUGAGGGAGUACUGCCCUAUGGGUUGUAAACCUCUUUUGCCGGGGAGCAACGGGCGCCACGUGUGGCGCCACUGAGAGUACCCGGAGAAAAAGCAUCGGCUAACUCCGUGCCAGCAGCCGCGGUAAUACGGAGGAUGCGAGCGUUAUCCGGAUUUAUGGGGUUUAAAGGGUGCGUAGGCGGAUCUUAAGGUCGGUGUUGAAAUGCGGGGGCUAACCCCCGGACCGCCAUUGAAACUGGCGCUCUUGAGUGGAAGAGAAGUAUGCGGAAUGCGUGGUGUAGCGGUGAAAUGCAUAGAUAUCACGCAGAACCCCGAUUGCGAAGGCAGCAUGCCGGCUUCCGACUGACGCUGAAGCACGAAAGCGUGGGGAUCGAACAGGAUUAGAUACCCCUGUAC